rnacentral:rRNA from 1 species
AACGAACGCUGGCGGCAUGCCUAACACAUGCAAGUCGAACGAGACCUUCGGGUCUAGUGGCGCACGGGUGCGUAACGCGAGGGAACCUGCCCUUAGGUUCGGAAUAACUCCCCGAAAGGGGUGCUAAUACCGGACAAUGUCUUCGGCCCAAAGAUUCAUCGCCUUUGGAUGGGCCCGCGUUGGAUUAGCUAGUUGGUAGGGUAAAAGCCUACCAAGGCGACGUUCCAUAGCUGGUCUGAGAGGAUGAUCAGCCACACUGGGACUGAGACACGGCCCAGACUCCGACGGGAGGCAGCAGUGGGGAAUAUUGGGCGAGGGGCGAAGGCCUGAUCCAGCAAUGCCGCGGGAGUGAUGAUGGCCGUAGGGUUGUAAAGCUCUUUUACCCGGGAUGAUAAUGAUAGUACCGGGAGAAUAAGCUCCGGCUAACUCCGUG